GUAACCAAGUCUAGAGCCCAGGACUUCUCUACUCGCAAGCCUCCCGUGACACGCCGUCCCAGGUCUCCCGUGGUGGGUCUGCUCACUCUGCAGGCUGCUUUUUCUCGAUGACAGUGGGAAGAGCCGGAGAGAAGAGCUAAGGGGAACUGAGGACAGCCUGCUCCAACUCGAGAGGCCAAGUGUCCACCCCUCACGGGCCUCCGACUCCAUCUCCGGUGCACAGCUGGUCUCUCCAUUGGCAGCCACGCUCAGAGCAGUCACCCACUGGGUUGGCCUUCAUCCUUGUUGGGCCUGAGUGCCAAACCUAGGCAGUCUGGCACUGAGGCCUCCUGUCUCUCGACAUCCAUCCAGAGGAGAGGCAGAUAUUUUGUGAACAAGUCCUGCCAUAGCCCUCCAAUGAAAACACCUC